CCUACGGGAGGCAGCAGUGAGGAAUAUUGGUCAAUGGACGAGAGUCUGAACCAGCCAAGUAGCGUGAAGGAUGACUGCCCUAUGGGUUGUAAACUUCUUUUAUAUGGGAAUAAAACAGGGUAUGCAUACCCUCUUGUAUGUACCAUAUGAAUAAGGAUCGGCUAACUCCGUGCCAGCAGCCGCGGUAAUACGGAGGGUCCGAGCGUUAUCCGGAUUUAUUGGGUAUAAAGGGAGCGUAGGUGGAUUGUUAAGUCAGAUGUGAAAGUUUGCGGCUCAACCGUAAAAUUGCAGUUGAAACUGGCAGUCGUGAGUACAGUAGAGGUGAGCGGAAUUCGUGGUGUAGCGGUGAAAUGCUUAGAUAUCACGAAGAACUCCGAUUGCGAAGGCAGCUCACUGGACUGCAACUGACACUGAUGCUCGAAAGUGUGGGUAUCAAACAGGAUUAGAUACCCCAGUAGUC
rnacentral:rRNA from 1 species